AAUAGAAAAAUGAUAUUAAAUUUUCAUAACAAACAAAAUCCCCUAUCAAACAGACAUUAAUAUUAUUUGAUCAUGAUGUUUUUAGUCCUUUUUCGAUCCAAAUGGUAAUAUGUAGUCCAUUCAAUGAGACGAGUAAGGAGUUCUAGGAAUCAUAUCGAAUGAAAAAAUCUAAAGAUAGUAGUUUAUCUAUAAGGGAAAAUAGUGUAGCAGUUAAGAGAAGGCUAGGUUAGAGAUGCAACGACAUAUCAUAGGACAUAACUCACAUCACGUGAUCCAAGUAAUGUAAUGGGGAUAACAUGACGUCAGGUAUAAUCUCUCCAGGCAACGAAGUAACUCCUUAAUUUGUUGAUAUUGAAGCUCAAGGAAAAAAGGCUCAAGGAGGUUUAAGGAAAAAUAUUUAUUAAGGAUGAAGUGUUCAGUUAAAUCACCACACUUAGAUAAUAAUAACUAUAUAGAUAUAAUUAAUAAGUAACUAUCAUUCUUUCUACAUUCUUCUUUUAACAGAAUUCAGAUACAAAGACUGAAAUAAAAAUUUUAACAGAAUUCAGAUACAGAGACUGGGAUCUUACUGCAUGUGAGUUAAUUAACAGAUUAACAAAAGAACAAACCGCUGACUGACACCCUAACUUUCUUAUAUAUUUUAUGCAGAUGCUGACUAUACAUCGGAGUUGGUCGUUCUCCAUGCGUGAUAUUACAUACGCUGUUUUGCACGUGCGUUCACUGGCCCUGAACACAGAUAGUUUUAUACUGUAUUAUCAUUUUGUACGUGCGUCAGUCAAUUUUGGAUGCAGUAUAGUCUGAUGCUCUAUGUGUCAUUUUAUAUGCGUGCUGAUGACUUUAGUUGCAGUAUAGAUUGACGCUAAUCAUCAGUCAUCCUGCACACGCGUCUACUGACUUUGGGCGCAGCUCUUAGUUUGACGCUUUAGAUGUCAUUCUGCUAACCUUAGUACAAUAGUUAAUUCGCUAAGUUCAAUAAUAAUUCACUAUAUGAUUAUAAUAAAUUUGUUAAAAGUCUAUAAUUUAUGAGGUAUUACUAAAUAAAAUACAAUUCAAUAUAUAUAAUUA